UACGAAGGGGGCUAGCGUUGCUCGGAAUUACUGGGCGUAAAGGGCGCGUAGGCGGAUACUUAAGUCGGGGGUGAAAGCCCGGGGCUCAACCUCGGAAUUGCCUUCGAUACUGGGUAUCUAGAGUAUGGGAGAGGUGUGUGGAACUCCGAGUGUAGAGGUGAAAUUCGUAGAUAUUCGGAAGAACACCAGUGGCGAAGGCGACACACUGGCCCAUUACUGACGCUGAGACGCGAAAGCGUGGGGAGCGAACAGG
rnacentral:rRNA from 1 species